UCAAACAUCCAUAAUUUAUGUGACUUAUGAGGGGAAACUCUCUUGAUUUAGUUUUAUUACACUAACGCAAUGGAAAAGUUAUUUUUUUCAUAGGCCCACCUAAUUGUUAAUUGGCCUUCCGUGGAGACCAUUUUUUGAGUGUUUUGUGCCUUAAUCCUAGGUAGUUGAACAAACGUAUAAUCUCCAUUUUUUAUACUUUAGCGGGGGAACUGAUAGACCAUGUCAAAUUCAGCCCUACUAACAUCACAAAUCCGUUGCCAUGCCUUGUGAUACUUGCAUAAAGAAGAAGGCAUUGGGUGAAACUUAAUCUUCAUUUCUUAGUUAGGAGUUCAAAAACCUCCCUUCUGAAUCUAAGGUUUGAGCUGUUCGCGUGACAAUCGAAUCAUGGAUUGGAAGGAACGACCGUAUCUCUAUCGGUCAAUUUCCCUUUCUUCUCUCUACUUUGCUCUUUGUUCUCUUAAUAUGGAAAUUUUAGUAUCAUUGAUUGCUAUUCUUUUUCAUCCAUUUCUGUUUUGGUGCACCAGGUGUUUGCUCAAAUGCUUUUCCUCUAUCUCAAGGUGUGAUGAUGUGCUUGACAACAAGAGAAGAGUGUGACUUGAAUAAACUUUCUAAGUAUGAUUUUAUGCAUGGAUUAUCAACUAGUUCUAAUGCGGAUGUAGAGUUAGGUGGUUAAUCCGAAGUGAGUCAAAUAUUGCUAAAGCAUCAACACCUCUUAUAGGUCUAUGCUUGUUCCUGAUAACUGAAGUAUUUGCUGUAUUUGCUUACCUGCAUUUUUGAGGAUCUGAAGGAGCUUCCUUCCCAUGCCGAAGUUGAGAAACUUCAUGACCUUCCACAUGCAUGCAGGGGUGACAAAUAUGAACAGCGGCUUCUUUGGCAUCCUCAAUGGUUGUGGCAAAGGGAAUACAAUGAACUUUGUCUUGAGAAGAUGCAUGACAAUAAUAUGAAUAUUUGUAAUAAAACUUUGCAAAGUAUAUCCCCCCAAUUGCAGAGACGCUGAUACGACAAAGGAAUGUAUUGAAAAACUACUAAAAGCUGGAGCCAAUGUUGUUUUGACUACUAAAGGGAUUGAUGACAUGGUACUUCUGUCACACUGAUGCUACCUAUCAAAAGAAAACAUUGAAGAGUCUCUCCACUUUCAUCCUCAAGUUCCCCUGCAUCAACUUCUUCUCCUCAAUUUCAAGUGCAGCUAGAACCUUCAUCCUUCGAAUUUGGUGAAGGUAUUAUAAAUUUUUGUCCCACUUUCUAUUAGUGUACUAUGAAAAUAAUUUGUAUACAGGUUUGUUUACAACUGAAUCUUGCUCAGUUGAUAGGUGGUUCAGAGUUGAGAUGAAAUUGCACUAGCUUUACUUCUAUUUAGCAUUUAGAAUGUUACCCUCAACUAACCUGUGUUUUUUUUGUUGUUGUUAUCUUGUUACAAAAUUCAUUGAUUAGCAUAGACUUCUAUGUGGGAAGAGUGCAAUAGAGCUAGUCUUUAAACCAUGUCACAUUACAUUGGGUAUUUGCAAUAGAGCUUUAUUAAUUCA